AUUAAACGCUGGCGGCAUGCCUUACACAUGCAAGUCGAACGGCAGCACGGGGGCAACCCUGGUGGCGAGUGGCGGACGGGUGAGUAAAGCAUCGGAACGUAUCCUGGAGUGGGGGAUAACGUAGCGAAAGUUACGCUAAUACCGCAUAUUCUGUGAGCAGGAAAGCAGGGGAUCGCAAGACCUUGCGCUCUGGGAGCGGCCGAUGUCGGAUUAGCUAGUUGGUGGGGUAAAGGCCUACCAAGGCGACGAUCCGUAGCGGGUCUGAGAGGAUGAUCCGCCACACUGGGACUGAGACACGGCCCAGACUCCUACGGGAGGCAGCAGUGGGGAAUUUUGGACAAUGGGCGCAAGCCUGAUCCAGCCACGCCGCGUGAGUGAAGAAGGCCUCGG
rnacentral:rRNA from 1 species